GACGAACGCUGGCGGCGUGCCUAAUACAUGCAAGUUGAGCGCUGAAGGUUGGUACUUGUACCAACUGGAUGAGCAGCGAACGGGUGAGUAACGCGUGGGGAAUCUGCCUUUGAGCGGGGGACAACAUUUGGAAACGAAUGCUAAUACCGCAUAAAAACUUUAAACACAAGUUUUAAGUUUGAAAGAUGCAAUUGCAUCACUCAAAGAUGAUCCCGCGUUGUAUUAGCUAGUUGGUGAGGUAAAGGCUCACCAAGGCGAUGAUACAUAGCCGACCUGAGAGGGUGAUCGGCCACAUUGGGACUGGGACACGGCCCAAACUCCUACGGGAGGCAGCAGUAGGGAAGCUUCGGGAAUGGACGAAAGUCUGACCGAGCAACGCCGGGGGAGUGAAGAAGGUUGUCGGAUCGGAAAACUCGGUUGGUAGAGAAGAACGUUGGUGAGAGUGGAAAGCUCAUCAAGUGACGGUAACUACUCAGAAAGGGACGGCUAACUACGUG
rnacentral:rRNA from 1 species